GACGAACGCUGGCGGCGUGCUUAACACAUGCAAGUCGAACGAUGAACCGGGUGCUUGCACCUGGGGAUUAGUGGCGAACGGGUGAGUAACACGUGAGUAACCUGCCCUGGACUCUGGGAUAACCCCGAGAAAUCGGAGCUAAUACCGGAUAGGACCUUGCCCCGCAUGGGGGUUGGUGGACAGUUUUUCGGUUUGGGAUGGACUGGCGGCCUAUCAGCUUGUUGGUGAGGUAAUGGCUCACCAAGGCGUCGACGGGCAGCCGGCCUGAGAGGGUGACCGGCCACACUGGGACUGAGACACGGCCCAGACUCCUACGGGAGGCAGCAGUGGGGAAUAUUGCACAAUGGGCGCAAGCCUGAUGCAGCAACGCCGCGUGCGGGAUGACGGCCUUCGGGUUGUAAACCGCUUUUAGUAGGGAAGAAGCCUUUCGGGGUGACGGUACCUGCAGAAAAAGGACCGGCUAACUACGUGCCAGCCGCCGCAGUAACAC
rnacentral:rRNA from 1 species